AGUGAACGCUGGCGGUAGGCCUAACACAUGCAAGUCGAACGGCAGCACAGUAAGAGCUUGCUCUUACGGGUGGCGAGUGGCGGACGGGUGAGGAAUACAUCGGAAUCUACUUUUUCGUGGGGGAUAACGUAGGGAAAGUUACGCUAAUACAGCAUAUGACCUACGGGUGAAAGCAGGGGAUAUUCGGACCUUGCGCGAUUGAAUGAGCCGAUGUCGGAUUAGCUAGUUGGCGGGGUAAAGGCCCACCAAGGCGACGAUCCGUAGCUGGUCUGAGAGGAUGAUCAGCCACACGGGAACUGAGACACGGUCCAGACGCCUACGGGAGGCAGCAGUGGGGAAUAUGGGGCAAUGGGCGCAAGCCUGAUCCAGCCAUACCGCGUGGGUGAAGAAGGCCUUCGGGUUGUAAAGCCCUUUUGUUGGGAAAGAAAAGCAGCAGGUUAAUACCCCGCUGUUCUGACGGUACCCAAAGAAUAAGCACCGGCUAACUUCGUG
rnacentral:rRNA from 1 species